CUUCAGUGAACAUUCAACGCUGUCGGUGAGUUUGGAAUUAAAAUCAAAACCAUCGACCGUUGAUUGUACCCUACAG
rnacentral:pre_miRNA from 1 species